CCCAGGUAGCUCAGUUGGUAGAGCAGGGGAUUGAAAAUCCCCGUGUCGGCGGUUCGAUUCCGUCCCUGGG
rnacentral:tRNA from 1 species